CCUACGGGAGGCAGCAGUGAGGAAUAUUGGUCAAUGGGCGCGAGCCUGAACCAGCCAAGUAGCGUGCAGGAUGACUGCCCUACGGGUUGUAAACUUCUUUUAUACAGGAAUAACAUGAUACACGUGUGCCUUUUUGUAUGUACUUUAUGAAUAAGGAUCGGCUAACUCCGUGCCAGCAGCCGCGGUAAUACGGAGGAUCCGAGCGUUAUCCGGAUUUAUUGGGUUUAAAGGGAGCGUAGGUGGGGUGGUAAGUCAGUUGUGAAAGUUUGCGGCUCAACCGGAACAUUGCAGUUGAUACUGGCAGUCUUGAGUACAGUAGAGGUAGGCGGAAUUCGUGGUGUAGCGGUGAAAUGCUUAGAUAUCACGAAGAACUCCGAUUGCGAAGGCAGCUUACUAAACUGCGACUGACACUGAUGCUCGAAAGUGUGGGUAUCAAACAGGAGUAGAUACCCCAGUAGUC
rnacentral:rRNA from 1 species